AUUGUAUAAAAGCAGGCCAGUGAGCCUGGAUUAAACAGAUCAUUUUACCCCUUCAUGAAGUCUAGGCUCAUGUUUGGAAGAUUGGGAGCUAUAUUCACUACUAUAUUCACUAUGGUGCUUGGGACUUGGGAGAUUCUUCACGGAUGUACUCAGCUGGAAUACUGGGAUCCGUUACACACACAUACUGACACAGGUAUGUAUUUAAACUGACACACAUAUAGAUACACACCCAUACUGACACACAAACACACACAGAUACAUGCAUUGACACAUGUAGAGUUAUACAUACACACUGACACACAAAGAUAAACUCACAUACGGUAAAAUAAACAGGGUAAUCCUGUAACGAUCUGUAGAGCGCCCGUAACAUGGGGGUCUUCCCAGGACCAGUCGAUAAGGUCUAUCUCUGGGGCUGGUUGGGAAGUAGAUGGUACAGUGUCCGGGUCUCCUGAUGACAGGCUUAGUUGCUGGGAAGGAGGGACGAAACGCCCCAUCAUGUCAGAGACAGGCGGCAUUACCCGGUUAAAAAGGCAAGCAUAGUCCUGCUCGAGCUCCCACUCCAGGGUGGCGAGACUGGACAGGUCUGGCUGUAUGGCAGCGAUCUCAGUAAGGUCCCAGUUGUCUACACACAAAACAACAGGAAGUCAGCGCUAAGGGCAGCAACCCAAACGAAGGAAACCCCUCAGAUCCUUCAACAAAUAGAGAAAGCAAUACAAAAAGAUGGAGUGGGGUUGCGCCAGCAGAAAGUAGAAUAAAAUAAAGUUAAAUAGUCCAGAAAAUCUCACUAGAGCAGCAAUAGAUAGUCAGGGAUACUUGAUAAAAUGUAGAUGAG